rnacentral:rRNA from 1 species
UGGGGAAUAUUGGACAAUGGGGGCAACCCUGAUCCAGCAAUGCCGCGUGUGUGAAGAAGGCCUUCGGGUUGUAAAGCACUUUCAGCGGGGAAGAAAGAACCAAAAUUAAUACUUUUGGGUGUUGACGUUACCCGCAGAAGAAGCACUGGCUAACUCUGUGCCAGCAGCCGCGGUAAUACAGAGAGUGCAAGCGUUAAUCGGAAUUACUGGGCGUAAAGCGCACGUAGGUGGAUACUUAAGUCGGAUGUGAAAUCCCUGGGCUUAACCUAGGAAUUGCAUUCGAUACUGGGUAUCUGGAGUAUGGUAGAGGGAAGUGGAAUUUCCGGUGUAGCGGUGAAAUGCGUAGAUAUCGGAAAGAACACCAGUGGCGAAGGCGGCUUCCUGGACCAAUACUGACACUGAGGUGCGAAAGCGUGGGGAGCAAACAGG